rnacentral:rRNA from 1 species
ACUACGGGAGGCAGCAGUGGGGAAUAUUGCACAAUGGGGGAAACCCUGAUGCAGCGACGCCGCGUGAGUGAAGAAGUAUUUCGGUAUGUAAAGCUCUAUCAGCAGGGAAGAAAAUGACGGUACCUGAUUAAGAAGCCCCGGCUAACUACGGGCCAGCAGCCGCGGGAAGACGUAGGGGGCAAGCGUUAUCCGGGUUUACUGGGUGGAAAGGGAGCGUAGACGGCCGCACAAGGCUGGAGUGAAAUGCCGGGGCUUAACCCCGGAACUUCUUUGGAAACUGUGCAGCUAGAGGGCAGGGGGGGUAAGUCGAAUUCCUAGUGUCGCGGUGAAAUGCGUAGAUAUUAGGAGGAACCCCAGUGGCGAAGGCGGCUUACUGGACUGUACCUGACGUUGAGUCUCGAAAGCGUGGGGAGCAAACAGGAUUAGAUACCCUUGUAGUC